rnacentral:tRNA from 1 species
GAGAUCCUAGCUUAAGGGUUAAAGCAUACCACUCAUAAUGGUUGUAUAUUGGUUCAAAUCCAUUGGGUCUUA